GUGGUGACUGUUUGAAGGAUAAUAAAAAUUUCCUUUCUUUCGAUCUACUUCCUAAAUGGAUAGCUGAGCUGGGAGAAGACUUGUUUUCCUAACAGCACAGACUAGCAAUACAAGAGCAUUUUCCAAGCAUAAAAUCACGAUGGAGAAAACCCUUAAUUCGCUGCUUGCAAGUUAAGCUUGUCAAGAAAAUUAGGAUGUGCUGCUGAUCCUAAUUAUCA
rnacentral:lncRNA from 1 species